UGCCAGCAGCCGCGGUAAUACGGAGGGGGCUAGCGUUGUUCGGAAUAACUGGGCGUAAAGCGCGCGUAGGCGGAUUAUCAAGUUGGGGGUGAAAGCCCGGGGCUCAACCUCGGAACGGCCUCCAAAACUGAUAAUCUAGAGUUCUGGAGAGGUAAGUGGAAUUCCUAGUGUAGAGGUGAAAUUCGUAGAUAUUAGGAAGAACACCAGUGGCGAAGGCGACUUACUGGACAGAUACUGACGCUGAGGUGCGAAAGCGUGGGGAGCGAACAGGAUUAGAUA
rnacentral:rRNA from 1 species